rnacentral:tRNA from 1 species
GGAUAAAUAGUUUAAUUUAUAAAGAACGUAACACUGAAAAUGUUAAAAUGACAUAGUCUUUUUCCA